rnacentral:rRNA from 1 species
AGUCAUAUGCUUGUCUCAAAGACUAAGCCAUGCAUGUCUAAGUAUAAGUAUUAUACAGCGAAACUGCGAAUGGCUCAUUAAAACAGUUAUAGUUUAUUUGAUAAUCAAACUUACAUGGAUACCCGUGGUAAUUCUAGAGCUAAUACAUGCUGUUUUGCCCAACUUUUUGGAAGGGCGGUAUUUAUUAGAUAACAAGCCAAUAUUCCUCUGGUCUAUUGUGAUGAUUCAUAAUAACUGAUCGAAUCGCAAAGGUUUUACCUGCGAUACAUCAUUCAAGUUUCUGCCCCAUCAGCUUUCGAUGGUAGUGUAUUGGACUACCAUGGCAUUUACGGGUAACGGAGGAUUAGGGUUCGAUUCCGGAGAGGGAGCCUGAGAAACGGCUACCACAUCUAAGGAAGGCAGCAGGCGCGUAAAUUACCCAAUCCUGACUCAGGGAGGUAGUGACAAGAAAUAGCGGACCGAGGCCCUUGUGGCUUCGGGAUUGCAAUGAGCCGAAUUUACACCCCUUAGCGAAGAUCGAUUGGAGGGCAAGUCUGGUGCCAGCAGCCGCGGUAAUUCCAGCUCCAAUAGCGUAUAUUAAAGUUGUUUGCAGUUAAAAAGCUCGUAGUUGGAUUUCUGGCAGGGUGUUUAAUCCUUCUUCUUGAAGCGUAUUAGACGCCUUACCAUCCUUCUGUUACCUUAUCUCGGCAUUCAUUUGCUGGUUAAGUGCUCAGAUAUUUUACCUUGAGAAAAAUUAGAGUGUUUCAGGCAGGCUAAGCCCGGAAUACAUUAGCAUGGAAUAAUGGAAUAGGACUGAGGUCUCUUUGUUGGUUUGAGGGACUACAGUAAUGAUUAAUAGGGACAGUUGGGGGCAUUAGUAUUUAAUAGUCAGAGGUGGAAUUCUAUGAUUUGUUAAAGACUAACCUAUGCGAAAGCAUUUGCCAAGGAUGUUUUCAUUAAUCAAGAACGAAAGUUAGGGGAUCAAAGACGAUCAGAUACCGUCCUAGUCUUAACCAUAAACUAUGCCGACUCGGGGAUCGGGGGUGCGAACUAUCCGCCUUCGGCACCGUACGAGAAAUCAAAGUCUUUGGGUUCUGGGGGGGAGUAUGGUCACAAGGCUGAAACUUAAAGGAAUUGACGGAAAGGCACCACCAGGCGUGGAGCUUGCGGCUCAAUUUGACUCAACACGGGAAAACUUACCAGGUCCAGACAUAGUGAGGAUUGACAGAUUGAUAGCUCUUUCUUGAUUCUAUGGGUGGUGGUGCAUGGCCGUUCUUAGUUGGUGGAGUGAUUUGUCUGGUUAAUUCCGUUAACGAACGAGACCUUAACCUGCUAACUAGUCACACAGAUCUCGUAUCUGCGUUGACUUCUUAGAGGGACUUUGUGACACUAAACACAAGGAAGUUUGAGGCAAUAACAGGUCUGUGAUGCCCUUAGAUGUCCUGGGCCGCACGCGUGCUACACUGACGCCUACAACGAGUACUUCCCGGCCCCGAGGGGCGGCCGGUAAUCAGCAAUAGGCGUCGUGAUGGGGAUAGAUCUUUGGAAUUCUGGAUCUUGAACGAGGAAUGCCUAGUAAGCGCGAGUCAUUAGCUCGCGUUGAUUAAGUCCCAGCCCUUUGUACACACCGCCCGUCGCUCCUACCGAUUUCGAGUGGUCCGGUGAAUCUUUUGGACUGUGACAGAGUCUCGUGCUACUGUUGCGGAAAAUCAGGUGAACCUUAUCACUUAGAGGAAGGAGAAGUCGUAACAAGGUUUCC